rnacentral:rRNA from 1 species
UACGUAGGGUGCAAGCGUUAAUCGGAAUUACUGGGCGUAAAGCGUGCGCAGGCGGUUUUGUAAGUCUGUCGUGAAAUCCCCGGGCUCAACCUGGGAAUUGCGAUGGAGACUGCAAGGCUAGAAUCUGGCAGAGGGGGGUAGAAUUCCACGUGUAGCAGUGAAAUGCGUAGAGAUGUGGAGGAACACCGAUGGCGAAGGCAGCCCCCUGGGUCAAGAUUGACGCUCAUGCGACGAA